AACGAACGCUGGCGGCAUGCUUAACACAUGCAAGUCGAACGAGACCUUCGGGUCUAGUGGCGCACGGGUGCGUAACGCGUGGGAACUUGCCCGUAGGUUCGGAAUCACUCACCGUAAGGGGUGCUAAUACAGGUUAAUCUAAUAGGACCAAAGAUCUAUGGCGUCUGGGUGGGGGCGCGUUAGUUUAGCCAGUUGGUAGUGUACAAGCCUGUCAUCGCGACGAUGCUUAGCUGGUCUGAUAGGAGGACCAGGAGCGCUGGGAAUGAGGCACGGCCCAGACUCCGACGGAGGGCAGCAGUAGGGAAUAUUAGGCAAGGAGCGAAAGUCUAAUCCAGCAAUGCCGCAUGAGUGGUGAAGGCCGUAGGGUUGUAAAGCUCUUUUACCCGGGAUGAUAAUGACAGUACCGGGAGAAUAAGCUCCGGCUAACUCCGUG
rnacentral:rRNA from 1 species